CAAUAGCGUAUAUUAAAGUUGUUGCAGUUAAAAAGCUCGUAGUUGAAUUUCUGUCAGGAGUGACCGGGCCUUUGGAUGAACUUCCGUUGUUUUUUGCUCUGUUUGUCAUCUCUAGACAUCCUGAAAUAUUUUUUAAAAAUAUUUCUCUUUUACUGUUAGCAAAAUAGAGUGUUCCAAGCAAAGCGUAGUUUUGAAUACAUUAGAAUGGAAUAAUAAGAUAGGACUUUGGUGCUAUUUUGUUGGUUUGCACACCAAGGUAAUGAUUAAUAGGGACAGUUGGGGGUAUUCGUAUUUAAUUGUCAGAGGUGAAAUUCUUGGAUUUAUGAAAGACGAACUACUGCGAAAGCAUUUACCAAGGAUGUUUUCAUUAA
rnacentral:rRNA from 1 species